rnacentral:rRNA from 1 species
GACGAACGCUGGCGGCGUGCUUAACACAUGCAAGUCGAGCGGUAAGGCUCCUUCGGGAGUACACGAGCGGCGAACGGGUGAGUAACACGUGAGCAACCUGCCCUUCACAUUGGGAUAACCCCGGGAACCGGGGACGUAUACGAACUACGACCACUGACGACAUCGUCUGGUGGUGGAAAGACUCCGGCGGUGGAGGGAGUGGGCGUCGCGGCC